rnacentral:misc_RNA from 1 species
GAUGAAGAGCGUAGCGAAAUGCGAUAAGUAAUGUGAAUUGCAGAAUUCAGUGAAUCAUCGAAUCUUUGAACGCACAUUGCGCCCCUUGGUAUUCCGAGGGGCAUGCCUGUUCGAGCGUCAUAUUAACCACUCCCGCUUGCGGGGUCUUGGGCUUCGCCUCCGGGCGGGCCUUAAAAUCAGUGGCGGUGCCGUCGGGCUCUACGCGUAGUAAAUUUUCUCGCGAUAGGGUCCCGGUGGAUGCUUGCCAACAACCCCCAACUUCUUAAGGUUGACCUCGGAUCAGGUAGGGAUACCCGCUGAACUUAAGCAUAUCAAUAAGCGGAGGA